rnacentral:lncRNA from 1 species
UGGGAAGAGAGCUGACAACCUUCUGUGGUAAGGGGUGAACAUCCUUGGGAAGCCACAGAGAGCAAGGCGCAGUUUUUCAUUGAUCACCACUUUCAAGAUGCUCCCAGAAUCGUGCUGUCUAGGAAGCCAUUUAAACUGGUGAGAAGCCAUCCUCUCUUGAAUGGGGGCUCCCACUGUACAUCUGGCACCCACUUCACAGAUUCUGGGGGAUGUCAACACCAGCACUGCUGAGCUGUGUGACCUUGAGCAAGACAGUUAGCCUCUCUGAACCUCAGUGUCCUUCUCUGUAGGCUGGAGAUUGAUAUACCUUCAUUAUCGGGGUAUGAGAGUGUUAUAAGGUGGGAUGGUGGAACACGCUGACUGGUCUGGGCUAUUCAAGAUCCAUGAACUGGAAGAUGCUUUCUUAUAACUCAGAGAAAAGAGAUGAAAAUGAAUCAAAGAACAGGAAGGAGACAAGCUCAGGAGAGUCACCCUAAGAAGGAUGUGUGGAAGACUUGACUGGAGGAUCAAAAUGUGUCGGGGGAAGGUGUACAAGGAGGAGUAAGGACACAGAUGUCCUGACUUCACACAGUGGGGGAUUAGAAGCCACCAUCAAACACAGAUGAAACAGGAAUAAAAGUAGUAGUACAUUACUUAAGCUUUAAAAGGGUAAGACUCCUGGGAAUUUGGAAGCUGAGACUUGAGGAGCAGAGGCAUUUAGCUGUGUAAACACAGAGCUUCAGUGGCAGCACCCUAAAUGCUUAGCUGAUAGAUCCGGAAUUAAAUACAGACCUAGAAACUGGAGUUGGAAAACUUCCUGGCAGCACUCCUUCCCUGCCAUCCCGGUGAUCCCCUUCUGGAUGGAGGGUGUGGAGCUCAGCACAUUCACGUCUGCAGCCCUGAACUGCUUGUCUUUUGCCUUGUUAUCUUUCCUGGACUGUGAACUUCCCAAGUGAAGAGCAUUGUAUUUGCUACAGACAACCUUCUGUUAUUAAAAGCUUUAUCAUA